rnacentral:lncRNA from 1 species
AUACCUUCUUCCAGGGACAAGGCUCAUUCUUUCCCCCCUUUUCUCCCUCCAUCCCUCUCUUUCCUUCCUUCCUUCUUCUCCCCCUUCCUUUUUCCCCUUCUGUCCUCCUUUUCCUCCCUCCUUCCCUUACUUGUUUCAUUUCCCUUUUUUUCCUUCCUUCCUUCCUUCCUUCUUUCGCUCCUCUUUCCCUUCCUUCCUUUCUCCCUUUCUCCUCUUUUUUUCUCCUUCCUUCUUUUACUCCCUUCUUCCUCCUCUUCCCUGCCUUCUUACAUUUCCCUUUCUCCUUCUUUUUUACUUCCUUCUUUUCUUCCUUCAUUCUUCCCUCCCUUCACCCUUCUCUCCCUCCUUUCUCACUUUCCUUUCCCCUUCCUUCUUCCUUCUCCCUUUCAUUUCUUCCUUUCCCGUUCCCUCCUUCUUUCCUUCCCUUUCUUCCCCCCUUUCUCUCCUUCCCUCUAUCCUUCCUUCUCUUCCUCCCUUCCUUUUCCCCUUCCUUCCUUCUUUCCCUCUCUCCCUCUUUCCUCUCCCCUUCCUUCCUUUCCCCUUCUCCCCUCCUUCCCUUUCUCCUUCCUUCCUCUCCCCUUCCUUUCUUCCUUUCACCUUUCCUCCUUCUUGCCUUUCUUCCCUCCCUUCCUUCCCCCUUUCUCUCCCUCUCUCCAUCAUUUUUUGCUUUCUUCCUUUCCCCUUCCUUCCUUCCCUCCCUCCAUCAGUCCUUCCUUUCCCCCUUUCUUUUCCUCCCCUUUCUUUUUCCCUUCCUUCCUUCACCGCCCUUUCUUUCCCCUUCCCUUCCUUACUUCCUUCCCCCUUUCUCUCCCUCCAUUCUUCCUUUUCCUCCCUUACUUCUUUCCCUUCCUCCAUCCUUUCUCUCUCCCUUUCCUUACCUCUUUCCUCUCUUCUUCCUUCCCCUUUCUCUCCCUUGAUUCUUCCUUCUCUUCGACCCUUCUUUCCCUCCCUCCCUCAAUCCUUCCUCUCUCUCUCCUUCCUUCUUUCCUCCCUUUCUCUCCCCGUCUCCCUCUAUGGCAGGGGGUGCAGUCCAUGCAGGGACCUUGGGAAGCCAGAUGCAACCUGCAGGCCUUAGUUUGCAGACCCCUGUUCUAUUGGAACACCCCUGAAAUCAUCAUGACUUUCGGAAGCUGA